UUACAUCACUUUAAAUCAGUGGUUCUCAACCUUUUUUAGGCCAGCGCCCCCCUACCCAUUCUCCAGGUCCCUUACCACCCCCA